CGUCUGAGAGUAUGACCAGACUGGCUGAGGCUGGAGUGGCUGGUGAGAACAUGCAGGCAGAGGCAAUCCUGAGAGGGAGUGAGCUCUGAAAAGUCCUGGAAAUUUAGCAGUGUGUGUAUAUGUCUUGGCUACAGGGUAAAUUCUUUAGGUUUUUUGGUUUGGUGCUAAAAAUGUUGGUGUUGAACUGGUCCUAACUAUGCUUGUUAAACUCUCUUCAGUAUUUUAGUAACCAGUAAUCCCCAACUCGUACAGUAACUUCAAAAUACACAUUACUGAUUUUUGAAAGUGUUCUACCACAGCUGAAUGGAGCUUGGCAUUUCUUGUGCAUUUCUUUAACAGAUUCAGAGCAGUGGAGUGGAAAUAUGAGUAAUUUCAACACCCUUCAAAAGCAAUAAUUUUCUGUUCAGUGACUUUGUUUAGUAAGCUCAGUGUUAUGUGCUGUUUUGGGGAAUAUUUUUCUAGCAGAUCACUCCCCCACCAACCCAGGAUGCUAAGGGCAGAAUCGUUUUCCGUUGCCUGUUUUAAUUGUUAUUGGAUCUGACUGCCUAGAGCCCAGCAUGCAUCAUCUAAGAGAAGUCACGUAGAGAUGUGAGAACAUUCCUCAUGAAAAACUUAAAUAAUUCUUGUUCAGUGCCUCCAUCUCAUGUUAUUUAGCCCUCUUUGUUUGCUCUAAUGAUCCAUUUUUUAGUUUUGAUUCUUCAUGUUUUAGUAAAUUAGAAGUUUAGCUUAAAAAAAUCAAACAGCAUUUAAGCAUUUGGGUAAAAUUUCAUGUGAGUAAAGUAUAACUAAUGUUUGCAAGGCUAAAGUAAGUAUCCAAAGUCAUUAAAUCUCAAUAUAUUGACAAGACACGUGAACAGCGUACAACCUUAUUCUGAAGUACUCAGUAAGCAUCCUCUUCUUCACUGUAGCACUAAGGACUUUUGCUGGAAGGAUGUACCUUUAUCAAGGAGCUACCUUUUAGCUCCUUCCAUUCCAACUGUCCUUGUUUUGGCCUGUAAGUAGUUGAUAGUGUCUUAUUAUUCCAGAAUAAUCCCUUGAUUCCCGCAGAGGAGGAGGAAGAGAAGCAAGUGUGAUGCCUCUGUGUUUGUAUGCAUUGACAUCCCAACCUAAAUAAAUACUUGAUGAUCUCCUUUCUUGGCCAAUCUGAAUAAUUUGAAGUGUGAAAUGGCAAUAGAAAGCAAUUUAGCCAGUGUCCCCAUGGAAAAGUUUGCAGUUGUAUUUUGUUAAUUGGGCAUUUAUUGUGAUAAUUUCUGAGCAUAUCAGCUCAUGGAGGCUUGUCUCUGCAUUAGUGAACUUUGGAGUCUUGGAAAGCAAUAUUAAGUUAUCCCAUUUCAGUGAUGGAUACCUAAGAGACAAGGACAGUUCUUAAGGCCAUCUGUGAUGCCUGGAGCUGAUCUGAAAACUGACCCUAAAAUUCUUUAUACUUACUCCAUGUGUUCCUUUUAUGAGAACACCAUUCAAUUUACUUUGCUUUGUGCUUCAUGGAACUAAAGGAAAUACACACCAUUUACACUGUUAUCAAUUGUAUUAUGGAAAAAUUCCAUGACAAAGUAAUAUAGGGAUUCUUGCUACAUAGCAUGAAGAGGUGGUAUUACGUGCUCUUUGUAUCUGGACUGGGGAAGGUAUCAUCUGCUCCUAAAGCUUGUGACCUCAUGAAAUGCAGCAUUCCAGGGAGCAGGCACUUUGUUCAGUUUCUUAGUUAAAACUUUUCAGCACAGAAUAUUCUGUGAUUCUGUAGGGACCUACAAGGAUCAUCAAAGGGUCAGUUACAGGCACAUAACUUGAUAAAAGGUAUCUUUUAAUUUUUGUAAUUUUGCAUGAUUUUGGUACAACACAUUUUAAAGUGUGUUUGAAAGUAUAUGGCAGAGUGGGAAUCCAAACCACCACAGUGUGGUGUACAGAACUACAAUUAAAAUUCCAUCAAAAUAAGCUCUCUUACACACAAACCCAUACCUUCAAAGUAGAGAAGGUCCCCACUACUUUUUUUUUUAUUCUUUGGCAGAGUGCAAUAGAGAGGAUUGUUUAUGUCAGUGGGCUUUAACAACGCUCUCAAAAUAUUCUUUCUCCUGAGCCUACUUAGCAAACAUUUAGUUAUAUCUGGCCAUUUUCUACCCUGAUUCUCUCUCAUUUAAAGCUACUAGACUCUUAAGGCUGCACUUUGUGAUCUGGUGUUAGUAUUGUUUAUUCUUUCUCUACAGGUAGUGAGAGUUGUGGCUGUUGGUUCUCUCCAGCCACCAUCUGUUUGUUUCUUUCUGGCUGUGAUGGGUUUUUCAUGAGCUUUGCAAAUAGUCUAUCUAAUGCUGACAGACUUUUCUCUCAUUCAGUGCCCAUCAAUGCCUAUGAUGAAAACAGAGGGUUGUCUGAAAAAAAGUAAUAAGCAAAUACAAGUAUGAUAUGUGUGCUUGUGAAUUGGUCUUCUUCAUUCAUCAUUUUGUUUUGUAAUUAAGUGAAACCAAAGCUGUCUGGCAGGAAAUUAAGAAUGAUUCAUAUGAACACCUGUGAACUCACAAUUGCUUUUAUUGGACUUGAAGUCCCUUAACCCAUUUUCUUAUGCUUUUCUAGUCUCAACAGGUGCUUCAUCUCACUAUUUUAUCCAGUCCCACUCUUUUUUACUUCCUUUAUCCAUGGAGGAAAAGCCAGCAAGAUUGAGUUGUUUUGUUGUUUUUUUUGCACUGUAUGACUCAUAAAGUUAAAAAAGAAGCCUGAAAUUUGGGAUGUUACUACUUAAAUAAGCAUAGCAAAAUAACCUUUUUUAACUGACUUUCAGUAAAAGUGUUCAUCAGCAAAACACAAGAUGGCUCUGGGGAGGCAGCAGUGUUGUGACCAGGCUGUGACAUGGACAUUCUGGAAAUUACUUUUUGUCUCUUUGUCACUGAGCAAAUGGCAAAGGCUAGCUUGCUGUAGUGCUCUGAAAUCAGCAUAUUUUAGUGGUACAAGAGAAGGAUUGCUCAAAAAUAAAGCCUAAUCCCUUUGAAGUCAGUCUUGUUGCUGUCAAACGGAGCAGACAGAAGCCUCUAUUUUGGGUUUAUAGGUACUGAAAAUUACUAUACUGUGCCAGAUUUGCAUGUAUUUUGCAUAUAUUCAGUUUAAUAAAAUGAGGUACCAUAAUGAAAUUCUGUUUGAAAAAUACUUGGAUUAACCUUUAAUUUUGGAAGUAAUUUUUUAAAUGCCUUUUUUUGGCGCUCUCCUCAAAUACUCCAAAUCUUAGUUUUCAAUUUCUUUCUUUUUCUAGAGUCUCAAAGAUUUCUUCCUGUCAUUGAGAUGUUUGUGUUUGCCAAACAUCCAUUACUGCAGUUUUUGAAGCCAGAUGAGAUGUUUAAGGAUGUUCCCAUCCCUGGAAACAGACAUGUCUUUUUUGCCUCCAUUGAGUUUUCCCACGUUGUUUCAGUAGCUUGAUAAAGUUGUAACACUUUUUAUUUCUGUAGUAUCUUUUUAUUUCAGGCAGUUUGUUUCCAUAGGCUUGGCACAAGUCUGCAUGGCACAGAUAUGAAAGUUGGCUUAUUGCCUCUCUUCUUUCACAAUGAAGUUCUUCCUUAAGGAACUUUCCAAAUGUUGGAUAACAUAAAACACUGUGAUGUAUAUAGAAUUAUUUGAAACUUUACUGAUUGAAAUCUGUCUUUCAAACAGAAUCUGCACACAGUCCACAGGCAUAUCUCUGCUGUGUCUAAAGCUAACAUAGGAGACAAACUUGUAAGAGUUUCUGAAAUGCAAGCAAAGCUUAUCUUUUACCUUGUGUCACAGAAUACAUAUAGGAGGGUUUUCUAAUCAGUGCUAUUUUCUUCUCUUCAAUAUUUAAAUUAGAUUAUCUGUAAUUAAUGCUUGCUCCUACCAUGGAGACCCUUUUAGGAGCAGAGUUUGGAGAUGGACAGCCUUCACUGCUUCUCAGUUGGGAGCUGCUCUGGGGCUAUGGUGUACAGGACACAUCCUGCUUUGUAUCACCAGCCCUUACCCUCCUACUGGUCCCCAGGCCCCCCUCCCUUCUCUCUCUCCCUGGGGGGCUCUUUCCCACUGCUGGACAACCACAGUGCUCAGGCACACUCUUCCUCUCCCUUUGCUCCACUCUCCCUUCUCUGGAGCCCAGGAAAAGCUCCAUGCUAACAGGGUCUGUGUGUAGCUCUGCAGUCAAACCUAGAAGAUGUAAGUGCAUCUCAAGUGCAUUGACAGACUCGUGCUGUCACUUGUUGUGCCCCAGCCUGGUUUGCAUUUGCCGCCUUCAUCUUUCCCGUAGUGUCUCAAGUCCAGCUGCACGUGGCUGUGUUUUUGUGACUGCCUACAUGUGUGGGGCUGCAGGUCAAGCUGGGCUGUGGCCACUUUCGACAUAUGUCUAGAAGCUGUAUCUCACUACUUUCUCUUAAGCUCUUACCAAUCUCUCUGAAAUUUAAAUGUUGACAGAUCACCUACACUGAGUUGUUCACUGUUGUCUUUUCUCCUUGUAUUUACAGAGUCAUUAUAUAUCCUGACUCAGUUUAUCAGCUCACCCAUGUCUGUAGGAGCCCAGGCUCUGGCAGCACUGAGGAAGGCCAUGGCUGGGAUUGGGCAGAGGCAGAAGGGAGAGCUGGAGCCCAGGGGCAUUCUGUGCUCCCAGCCUGGUGGCUGCAGAGGACUAGCAGCCUGGCUAAGUAAGCUCCAGUCUGGCCAGCAACAUUGGCCCUUCCAUCUCCAUUUUUGCUCUUAUAAAUACACUUGAGUUUUAAGUGGACUGUUCAUUUCAAGUGCAUUUCACUGGGUAGUACUACCCUUUUGAUUUUUCUAAAGAGGCUAUGCGUAGGAGUAAAUUUCCAUAAAUUGGCAGGGUUCAUCUGCCUCUGAGAUUUUGCAAUUGUUAUUUCAGGUCACAUUUAAAAAAGCAUGGGCCAGUAAAUGUAAGGCUCAUCCAUGUAAUCUGUCUGUGGUAUAUCACAAUUCCAGUCAGUAAUUGCAGGUGGAAGGCAUAGGGCCUCAGCACUGAAGUAUAUUUAAGGGGAUUCUGUGGAAUUUCUGAAAACAUGAGGCUUGCCCCAGGCAAUGUGUUGCAUAAGGGAGUUGUGCAAUGCCCAACUGCCUAAAGUCAGUCAUAAUUUGUAUACUUUGUGUACUUGCCUUUCUAUCCUACCUUCCUUUCCACAGCUGUGGGUUAGAAUCUGUACUUACUCUAAGACAAAUGAGAAAAAUAAGACUUGACAUAUUGAAAAAGGCAGAGCCUUUUUUUUGUGUGUGUGCAGCCUGUGCCAUCUGAAUUCAGUGACCAGGUAAUGCCUUCCAGGCAGUGUAAACUUCAGGAGGUGCACUCAGUGUUCCAGGUGGCCCUUGAGGGGACAUCAGACCUCUUUGAGGUCUGCAUGAGCAGGUGCACUUUGUACAUACUCAGAAUAUCUGGGCUAGCAGAAGUAAAGUGUGGGCAAGGAAUGAAGGUCCACAAACCAUUUAUUGUCUUACUCCUGUAUGCUACUGAUAAUGUUCACAGAGUCCCUGAUAGUACCAGAAGAACCUUAUUCUGGAGUACAGGGACUCCUGGGAGUUAACUGGUUUGACUGAUGCCAUUUUCUACUUGGCUUGAAAGAGAGGAAAUUAAAGCUACAGUUGUGGUAAGAGGAGUGUGAAAUGUUUGCAGAUGAAGAGGAAAUUAUUCUAAAUGUUUUGGCUUUCAUAGUCACCAAAAAUAACAAAUCAUAAUUUUUGUAAAAGAAUCUUUUCAAAGUCCAGGUGAAACUGCUUGAGAAAAAAGAUUUGAAAUUUUAAUGUGAACAUUCAUCAGCUAGAUGUUUGUUUUAAAUUUUGUAUAAAGAUGGAGCCCAUGAUGGUAAGUAAACAAAGCAGAAGUGGAUAAUUUCACUCAAACAUCAUGGACCUUAAAGGCAAUGCUUAAUUCCAAUGAAGUAAUUCUUGUUCUAGUUCCAGUCACAAAUGACCCUUUAUUGCUGCUUUCUGGUCAAAGCACCUCUUUUCGGCCAUCUUUAUUGUCUAAGUGUUGUAAAUCCCUGUUAUCUCCUUCCCUAUCAUCUUCUGCCUAGUUGUAUUUUAAUAUCUUUAAAUAUAUUUUAAAAAUCUUGCUUUGAUAGGUGUUAGAUUGUAUUAAGUUUGUGGCAGUAUGUCCCAGGCAAAGUCUUCUCUGCCACUUUGCAAGGAUCAAACAAUUUGUUUUUUCAAUUUCAGUGUAUUUAUGCAGGGCUGUUGUUGAAUUGAGCAUUCUCCUGAUUUCACUGGAAUUAUGAGGUAGAACUCAGAGUGUGUUUGGCUCCUAUCACUUAAAGCAGUCAGCACCAUUAAUUGGUAAUCUUGGGAAAUUAUUUAUUCUGAUCUUUAGGACACAGUGGCAUUACCCACAGUGAUGCAGUGAAAUGCUUUAAUUUUUGAUUUUUAAACCACUCCAGUUGCUAUCUCUUUUUUUUUUUUUUUUUUUUUUUAAGAAUUUAUAAUUUACUGGACUGAGUAUUUACAAAUUUCACAGAACAUUUUGUUCUCUGAUUUAAAUCCUGCAUACCAAGUGCCUGCCUGGGGCAAAGACAAAAAAAAGAAGUUAGCUUUGAUACUCCAAAACUGGCUGAAUAAAUCCUGUGCAGCUGGCCUGCGUGAAAUGUGCCCAGUGACAGCAAGCAGCAGCAAGGAUUCAGAGGGAUAGGGAGAGCUCUGUGCUGUCAGAUGUUACAGUGUUUUAUUGCUUUGGCUGGGAAGGGCAGGAAUGUGUAGGUAUCUCUACUAUUCAGUAUAAGGGUGCAAAGUGGUUCCCUCAGGCAUGUAUGUGGACAAAACUGCUGCACAAAUGUGCAGUGUUGUCUUCUGCAUGUAUUUGUACAUGCUCUGAUGUUUUCCAGCUUUGGAAAUGUAGUUAAAGCCUCAAAGUGAAUGUGUGAGUCUGCAGCAGCUGAGAAUACAUUUCCAGAAUUGGAGGUUCUCGUGUGGAUGAGUGUCUGUCCCAUCCUUGGUGUGGAAUUGUCUAACCUGUACUGUGGUAUUUGUUAAGGGAAGUUCUUGGAGACUUAUUGAAAUGUUCAAGCCAACACAGUACAGGUUGCACUUGUCUAUACUCUAGGGCGAGAUGUCAAGAACUGUUACAGAUUGGAAACUGGUGUUUCUGCCUGUGCUGUUCUCUGUUCAUCCAACUGUCUCUCAUCACUUUGUUUCUCUGUGUAAUAUAACCCAACUGAGACGUGGUCCUGAGGGAAAAGUGGCUUAAAUCUGAAUCCUGGAAAGUCAAGAAUUAAAAGAUUCAUAGUUUAGGAAAAUAAAUUCUGAAAUAUGAAGUUAUGAAGGCUGUGACUGGUUCACAUGAGCAACUUGCAACAAGGUCAUAUUUUCCUCUGCCAGUGCAUCAACAGGAAUUUGGAAAUCCUGCUCUUACCUGGGUGGUGUGAGCAGAGUGCUUUUGGCCAUGCUCUGUAGUGCCAUCUCUGUGAAUCCAGCUCUAUUCUCAGGCUCCAGAGAGUUUCCAGGUUAUCUAGAAAGAAGCACAAGGGUAACUGCAGUGGGACCAGAUUUACAGAACUGGCCUCUGCAGCUCAGAAUGGCAGGACUCAGAAAAGAAAAAAACAUAGAGGCUUUCAUUAGUUCAGGUUUUUAUCAGAAAUACACUACGAGGGACUUAAAAAGAUAUUUAUAUAUAUUGGAUGGUAAACAAAUUUUCAGCAAAAUGAGGUGAGAAUCAAACUUCCCUUGGAGACAGUUUGGCCAAUAGUUUCUGACAGGGUUUUGUUUUUUAUUUCCUAUGUCAUUUGUAGGGAUCAUACAUUGAAAUCCUGCUCUGUCCUACAGGGACCACUGGCUUGAACAAGUGCAUGACAAGUCUUAGGAUGCUUGUGCUGAAAGACUUCUCUUAAUGGACCCUGAUGGGAUUUAGUUUGAUUUGUUCCAGAAUGGAAUUGCCCUUGUUCCUGCUGCUGCAGGCUCAUGAUCUGGAACCCGGGACUUGAGCAGGACUGAGGGAUGCAUGCAAGUGGUAAGAAGCUGGAUCAUCUUUCUUCAUCUGCUCACUGCCUUCACAGAAUUUGCAAGUGUGACAAAGUAUUUCAUCCCUUUACAGGAUUAGGGAUGCGGAUUUGCCUCUCACCAAAGUGCUGCUGGCUGCCUGCUGGAGGGUGUCUCUAAGACCUGAUUUAACCUGAAACAUGCACUUCCUCAGGAGGUCUGCAGCAGGGCUGGAGGACUGCAAACACUGCAUCCCUUCCCUCCUGUCACCCGCUUCCACACAACUGUGCAGUGCCUGUACUGUGCUGUCAGCUCCCUCACUCUGAAAUGUUCCUCAUGAUGGUUUGUACGGAGGUGCCUUGGAGCAGGCUUUAGUUUUGGUGGCAGUCCCCCUUGUUGCCAUGUCAUUCAGGAAGAUGGCUUUAUCCUUGCCUUUAUUCCACUGGGACCAGCUGCUCUACCCACAGGCACCAAAAGUGGCAAAUCUUCCAUAACCUUUUUUUAAUUUUCUGCUGAAGCUCUACAUCACAUGAACUUCUUUAGUUUUUUUGAGAGGUAAAGACUUUUUUUCCUUUUUUUUUUUUGAAACCACACCAAAUAAAAACCCAAACAGCAAAACCCAACAAAGCCAAAACUGUCAGAAAAAAAAUAAAUCAAAACCCACACGUUCAACCCAAGUUGGAGAAAUAACUGCAUUGUGUGACUGAUACAGUCCAUGGGAGUACAAAGCAUUCGCAGUCUGGUCUUGCACAUCCACUCCCUAAACCUAUUAAUAGAUUUUAGGCAUGAGCAUAGACAUGGAGACGGGCAGGAGCAGUUUGCCAUGCAAACAUUUAUCUGUGAGCCCCAACCUAUUUUCUAGAACUGAAAAUCUUAGUGUGAUAAAGUGGACAUUUUAAAGCACUGGUGGAGAUAGAGGGGAUGUAACUGCACUUAAACGGAGGGUGGAUUAGGUAUUCUCAUAUCUUGGAGUCUGCCAGUAAAUAGCAAAGUAUAUAAGCAAUGGGAGGAAAUAUGUCCUUCUUAAUCUGUAAAAAGAAAAGGACAGUUUUGAAAAUCCAUCAGUGUUUCAAAUCAUCUUAUGGCAUAUUGAUUUUGAAUCAUCACAGGGGUGUUCUUGUUAGUGAUCUAAAAAUAUAAAUGUAGUUGAAUACAUGAAAAACUGUAUCUUAUUCCAGUUGCCUGUAUUACUGCAAUAAAUGAUACUAGCUCUCUCUUC